rnacentral:tRNA from 1 species
AUUAGUUUAGCUCAAUCGGUCAGAGCAUCAUGACGCGUAAUCACGGAGAUGUGAGUUCGUGUCCCACAGCUAACC